rnacentral:rRNA from 1 species
GACAGAGGUGGCGAGCGUUGUUCGGAAUUACUGGGCUUAAAGGGCGAGUAGGUGUCCCGACAAGUCGGAUGUGGAAGCUUUUUGCUUAACAGAAAAAUUGCAUCCGAAACUGUUAGGAUUGAGUCAGUGAGGGGAGGGCGGAAUUCCUGGUGUAGCGGUGAAAUGCGUAGAUAUCAGGAGGAAGGCCUGUGGCGAAGGCGGCCCUCUGGUACUGGACUGACGCUGAGGCGCGAAAGCGUGGGGAGCAAAC